UCCCUGGUUGUUUAGUGGUAAGGAUUCGCGCUCUCACCGCCCGCGUCCGGUUCGAUUCCCGCCAGGGAA